AUGGAUUCUCAGGCUCUAGUUGCUCCCCAGAAAAGCCUCAGCAAGUCAUUUUACCCUUUGCCUCUCACUCUACAUGGGUCUUUUCGAGAAUAUCUUAAUGAAAUAUUUCCUCAUCUCUGCGGACAAAGAGAUUUUUAUUGUGGGGGUGUCCCAUUAUUUUCCAUCUCAGGGACUCCUUCUUCAUUGUUUCCUUUUCUCUUCUGCUUCUCUUUCAUGGCUGCGCGUUUCUUCUUCCAGUGUUGCGGGCUAGGUCAGCAGCUGCAGGAGAACUUGAUUAGUGCCUUGCCUCAGUGCAGAUGCAUUUCCCUGACAGCAUCGAUCCUGGGUGCUUUCGCUUUGCAGGCAGCUCCACAGAGGAGGAGCUUGUACUGCAAAGGAGGUGGACUGUUGUCUGUUCAAGGUUGGAGGUGUAUUUGGAAUGCUUGCUUCACUCAGAGCCCUUUUCUCUAGGAAUUGCCCAUACUGGUAACCCUUCCUAAGGAGGUAGGCAUAAAAAUCAUGUUUGUAUCUCCCUCCCUGGUACCACCAGUGGACACCGGAUCAAGGACACAAAUGGCAGUUAGGAAUCAGUGCUGUCAAAAUUAAAGAGACUCAAGAAUGUCCUUCGAUGGUAAUCUGGGGAUCAUGAGAAAUUGGGAUCUAUGAUGGCUAUUUUCAACCAUAAGCAUACUGAUGAUGGGUAGAGAAUGCUGGAGAAUGGAGCAGAUGUACAGAGAGAAGCAAAACCAGUGAAUCAUGUGGUCACGGUGGAGACAGAGGAAGUACCUUGGUUCUAGGUCUCAUUCUUAAACCAAUGCAUGGUCUGAACAUUGAUUUUUUUCCCCCCCUCUAGGAUCACCAGAAGAUGGCCCAUUUUAACCUCAUAAUAAACUUCUCUUGAGUGUCUUUCUCUUCCUGGCA
rnacentral:lncRNA from 1 species